CAGCCGCCGCGGUAAUACGUAGGGUGCGAGCGUUAAUCGGAAUUACUGGGCGUAAAGCGUGCGCAGGCGGUUUUGUAAGACAGAGGUGAAAUCCCCGGGCUCAACCUGGGAACUGCCUUUGUGACUGCAAGGCUAGAGUACGGCAGAGGGGGAUGGAAUUCCGCGUGUAGCAGUGAAAUGCGUAGAUAUGCGGAGGAACACCGAUGGCGAAGGCAAUCCCCUGGGCCUGUACUGACGCUCAUGCACGAAAGCGUGGGGAGCAAACAGGAUUAGAUACCCCUGUAGUCCCUGUCUCUUAUAC
rnacentral:rRNA from 1 species